rnacentral:rRNA from 1 species
GUGAAACUGCGAAUGGCUCAUUAAAUCAGUUAUCGUUUAUUUGAUAGUACCUUACUACUUGGAUAACCGUGGUAAUUCUAGAGCUAAUACAUGCUAAAAACCCCGACUUCGGGAGGGGUGUAUUUAUUAGAUAAAAAACCAAUGCCCUUCGGGGCUCUUUGGUGAUUCAUGAUAACUUAACGGAUCGCAUGGCCUUGCGCCGGCGACGGUUCAUUCAAAUUUCUGCCCUAUCAACUUUCGAUGGUAAGGUAUUGGCUUACCAUGGUUUCAACGGGUAACGGGGAAUUAGGGUUCGAUUCCGGAGAGGGAGCCUGAGAAACGGCUACCACAUCCAAGGAAGGCAGCAGGCGCGCAAAUUACCCAAUCCCGACACGGGGAGGUAGUGACAAUAAAUACUGAUACAGGGCUCUUUUGGGUCUUGUAAUCGGAAUGAGUACAAUUUAAACCCCUUAACGAGGAACAAUUGGAGGGCAAGUCUGGUGCCAGCAGCCGCGGUAAUUCCAGCUCCAAUAGCGUAUAUUAAAGUUGUUGCAGUUAAAAAGCUCGUAGUUGAACCUUGGGCCUGGCUGGCCGGUCCGCCUCACCGCGUGUACUGGUCCGGCCGGGCCUUUCCUUCUGGAGAGCCGCAUGCCCUUCACUGGGUGUGUCGGGGAACCAGGACUUUUACUUUGAAAAAAUUAGAGUGUUCAAAGCAGGCCUUUGCUCGAAUACGUUAGCAUGGAAUAAUAGAAUAGGACGUGCGGUCCUAUUUUGUUGGUUUCUAGGACCGCCGUAAUGAUUAAUAGGGAUAGUCGGGGGCAUCAGUAUUCAAUUGUCAGAGGUGAAAUUCUUGGAUUUAUUGAAGACUAACUACUGCGAAAGCAUUUGCCAAGGAUGUUUUCAUUAAUCAGUGAACGAAAGUUAGGGGAUCGAAGACGAUCAGAUACCGUCGUAGUCUUAACCGUAAACUAUGCCGACUAGGGAUCGGGCGAUGUUUCUAUCUUGACUCGCUCGGCACCUUACGAGAAAUCAAAGUUUUUGGGUUCUGGGGG